GACGGAGGAUGCAAGCGUUAUCCGGAAUUAUUGGGCGUAAAGCGUCCGCAGGUGGUGGCUCAAGUCUGUCGUUAAAGCUCGGGGCUCAACCCCGAAAAGGCGGUGGAAACUGGGUUACUAGAGUACGGCAGGGGUAGAGGGAAUUCUCAGUGUAGCGGUGAAAUGCGUAGAGAUUGGGAAGAACACCAGUGGCGAAAGCGCUCUACUGGACCUGUACUGACACUCAAGGACGAAAGCUAGGGGAGCAAAAGGG
rnacentral:rRNA from 1 species